ACACCGGCAGCCCAAGUGGUGGCCAUUUUUAUUGGGCCUAAAGCGUUCGUAGCCGGCCUGAUAAGUCUCUGGUGAAAUCCCGCAGCUUAACUGUGGGAAUUGCUGGAGAUACUAUCAGGCUUGAGGUCGGGAGAGGUUAGAGGUACUCCCAGGGUAGGGGUGAAAUCCUAUAAUCCUGGGAGGACCACCUGUGGCGAAGGCGUCUAACGGGAACGAACCUGACGGUGAGUAACGAAAGCCAGGGGCGCGAACCGGAUUAGAUACCCGGGUAGGCCUGGCCGUAAACGAUGUGGACUUGGUGUUGGGAUGGCCUCGAGCUGCCCCAGUGCCGAAGGGAAGCUGUUAAGUCCACCGCCUGGGAAGUACGGUCGCAAGACUGAAACUCAAAGGAAUUGGCGGGG
rnacentral:rRNA from 1 species